UCUUCUUCUUCUUUUCUUUUCUUCUUCGACCGAGACCCAAGCCACAGCGCGCCGCAUGCCGCCUGAGCUCAACGCUGCCGCGCCGUCGCGCGCAGCCUCCCCUGCGCAACCUCCACCAGCUCCACUCUCUUGACCACCUCCACCUCAGCUCAACCUCUACCAGCUCGCCAUCGCCGCCGCCGUCCAGCCCUGAGCUCCACCGCACGGUCGCUCCCACCACUGCAGCAGAUCCAGCUCAGCCGCCUGCCCACGCCCCACAGCCCAGCGCCGCAACAGCUUGCUGCUGCCUCCAACCCCACACGACACACAGCGCCCGAACUGCCAUCGCCGAUCGCCGCCAGUCUCCCAGCUCCCCCUCUGCGCUCUCUCCACUUCGUGAACCAGCCGCACUUAAGCUCACCUCCACCAGCUCUCCCUCGCACGCCACUAGCUGCUCCGCUGCUCGCUCCAUUCCCACCUGUCCAAAUUGACAGGUGGAGGAGUUAGAGGGAUGAAUAUUGAGGUGAUGAAGUAGAGGUGAUAAGAACAUACCAUAUUUCCCAAAGGCUCCAAGAUAUUGAGGCAUAACACUUGGUAAGGUGUCGUCAGAGAUAUUAUUAUUCUUGGUUUGGGCUUCUUUAUGCAGGGUUGACAUCUCUUUGAAGACUCAUGGAGCAGCUUGUAAGGGUUUCCUCUGAAACCCUUGUUCUUUUAGAAGUUUCUCGAGCUUCCUCGGCCUAAACCAUACCCAGUUCAAUGCUUGCCAUGACACUACUACUACUAGAAGAAGAAGAAGAAGAAGACAAGAAGAAUAUACAGUAAACAUUGACACAUAGAUGGUUUCCAUCAUGUGUUUUUGUUUUGUUGGUUUUCUUGUGAGAUUUCUACCUCUGUUGUGUGUAUAUUUACAUUGGAGUGGGGGCUAUGCAUCCAUUUACUUCAAGACAAAGGAAAUGAUUAAGAAAUAAAAGAGAUGAUAAUUAUCGAAAGUGAAGGGAGAAAAUUUGACCUA